UUAAGUUAGAAAGGGCGCACGGUGGAUGCCUUGACACUAGGAGUCGAUGAAGGACGGGACUAACGCCGAUAUGCUUCGGGGAGCUGUAAGUAAGCUUUGAUCCGAAGAUUUCCGAAUGGGGAAACCCACCAUACGUAAUGGUAUGGUAUCCUUAUCUGAAUACAUAGGGUAAGGAAGACAGACCCAGGGAACUGAAACAUCUAAGUACCUGGAGGAAGAGAAAGCAAAUGCGAUUUCCUGAGUAGCGGCGAGCGAAACGGAACAUAGCCCAAACCAAGAGGCUUGCCUCUUGGGGUUGUAGGACAUUCUAUACGGAGUUACAAAGGAACGAGGUAGACGAAGCGACCUGGAAAGGUCCGUCGUAGAGGGUAACAACCCCGUAGUCGAAACUUCGUUCUCUCUUGAAUGUAUCCUGAGUACGGCGGAACACGUGAAAUUCCGUCGGAAUCUGGGAGGACCAUCUCCCAAGGCUAAAUACUCCCUAGUGAUCGAUAGUGAACCAGUACCGUGAGGGAAAGGUGAAAAGCACCCCGGAAGGGGAGUGAAAGAGAUCCUGAAACCGUGUGCCUACAAAUAGUCAGAGCCCGUUAACGGGUGAUGGCGUGCCUUUUGUAGAAUGAACCGGCGGGUUACGAUCCCGUGCGAGGUUAAGCUGAAGAGGCGGAGCCGCAGCGAAAGCGAGUCUGAAUAGGGCGUUUAGUACGUGGUCGUAGACCCGAAACCAGGUGAUCUACCCAUGUCCAGGGUGAAGUUCAGGUAACACUGAAUGGAGGCCCGAACCCACGCACGUUGAAAAGUGCGGGGAUGAGGUGUGGGUAGCGGAGAAAUUCCAAUCGAACCUGGAGAUAGCUGGUUCUCCCCGAAAUAGCUUUAGGGCUAGCCUUAAGUGUAAGAGUCUUGGAGGUAGAGCACUGAUUGGACUAGGGGUCCUCAUCGGAUUACCGAAUUCAGUCAAACUCCGAAUGCCAAUGACUUAUCCUUAGGAGUCAGACUGCGAGUGAUAAGAUCCGUAGUCAAAAGGGAAACAGCCCAGACCGCCAGCUAAGGUCCCAAAGUGUGUAUUAAGUGGAAAAGGAUGUGGAGUUGCUUAGACAACUAGGAUGUUGGCUUAGAAGCAGCCACCAUUUAAAGAGUGCGUAAUAGCUCACUAGUCGAGUGACUCUGCGCCGAAAAUGUACCGGGGCUAAAUACACCACCGAAGCUGCGGAUUGAUACCAAUGGUAUCAGUGGUAGGGGAGCGUUCUAAGGACAGUGAAGUCAGACCGGAAGGACUGGUGGAGUGCUUAGAAGUGAGAAUGCCGGUAUGAGUAGCGAAAGACGGGUGAGAAUCCCGUCCACCGAAUGCCUAAGGUUUCCUGAGGAAGGCUCGUCCGCUCAGGGUUAGUCAGGACCUAAGCCGAGGCCGACAGGCGUAGGCGAUGGACAACAGGUUGAUAUUCCUGUACCACCUCUUUAUCGUUUGAGCAAUGGAGGGACGCAGAAGGAUAGAAGAAGCGUGCGAUUGGUUGUGCACGUCCAAGCAGUUAGGCUGAUAAGUAGGCAAAUCCGCUUAUCGUGAAGGCUGAGCUGUGAUGGGGAAGCUCCUUAUGGAGCGAAGUCUUUGAUUCCCCGCUGCCAAGAAAAGCUUCUAGCGAGAUAAAAGGUGCCUGUACCGCAAACCGACACAGGUAGGCGAGGAGAGAAUCCUAAGGUGUGCGAGAGAACUCUGGUUAAGGAACUCGGCAAAAUGACCCCGUAACUUCGGGAGAAGGGGUGCUUUCUUAACGGAAAGCCGCAGUGAAUAGGCCCAAGCGACUGUUUAGCAAAAACACAGCUCUCUGCGAAGCCGUAAGGCGAAGUAUAGGGGGUGACACCUGCCCGGUGCUGGAAGGUUAAGGAGAGGGGUUAGCGUAAGCGAAGCUCUGAACUGAAGCCCCAGUAAACGGCGGCCGUAACUAUAACGGUCCUAAGGUAGCGAAAUUCCUUGUCGGGUAAGUUCCGACCCGCACGAAAGGUGUAACGAUUUGGGCACUGUCUCAACCAGAGACUCGGUGAAAUUAUAGUACCUGUGAAGAUGCAGGUUACCCGCGACAGGACGGAAAGACCCCGUGGAGCUUUACUGUAGCCUGAUAUUGAAUUUUGGUACAGUUUGUACAGGAUAGGCGGGAGCCUUUGAAACCGGAGCGCUAGCUUCGGUGGAGGCGCUGGUGGGAUACCGCCCUGACUGUAUUGAAAUUCUAACCUACGGGUCUUAUCGACCCGGGAGACAGUGUCAGGUGGGCAGUUUGACUGGGGCGGUCGCCUCCUAAAGUGUAACGGAGGCGCCCAAAGGUUCCCUCAGAAUGGUUGGAAAUCAUUCGUAGAGUGCAAAGGCAUAAGGGAGCUUGACUGCGAGACCUACAAGUCGAGCAGGGACGAAAGUCGGGCUUAGUGAUCCGGUGGUUCCGCAUGGAAGGGCCAUCGCUCAACGGAUAAAAGCUACCCCGGGGAUAACAGGCUUAUCUCCCCCAAGAGUCCACAUCGACGGGGAGGUUUGGCACCUCGAUGUCGGCUCAUCGCAUCCUGGGGCUGUAGUCGGUCCCAAGGGUUGGGCUGUUCGCCCAUUAAAGCGGUACGCGAGCUGGGUUCAGAACGUCGUGAGACAGUUCGGUCCCUAUCCGUCGUGGGCGUAGGAAAUUUGAGAGGAGCUGUCCUUAGUACGAGAGGACCGGGAUGGACGCACCGCUGGUGUACCAGUUGUUCUGCCAAGGGCAUAGCUGGGUAGCUAUGUGCGGAAGGGAUAAGUGCUGAAAGCAUCUAAGCAUGAAGCCCCCCUCAAGAUGAGAUUUCCCAUAGCGUAAGCUAGUAAGAUCCCUGAAAGAUGAUCAGGUUGAUAGGUUCGAGGUGGAAGCAUGGUGACAUGUGGAGCUGACGAAUACUAAUAGAUCGAGGACUCAACCAU
rnacentral:rRNA from 1 species